rnacentral:rRNA from 1 species
CCUACGGGUGGCAGCAGUCGAGAAUCAUUCACAAUGGGGGAAACCCUGAUGGUGCGACGCCGCGUGGGGGAAUGAAGGUCUUCGGAUUGUAAACCCCUGUCAUGUGGGAGCAAAUUAAAAAGAUAGUACCACAAGAGGAAGAGACGGCUAACUCUGUGCCAGCAGCCGCGGUAAUACAGAGGUCUCAAGCGUUGUUCGGAAUCACUGGGCGUAAAGCGUGCGUAGGCUGUUUCGUAAGUCGUGUGUGAAAGGCGCGGGCUCAACCCGCGGACGGCACAUGAUACUGCGAGACUAGAGUAAUGGAGGGGGAACCGGAAUUCUCGGUGUAGCAGUGAAAUGCGUAGAUAUCGAGAGGAACACUCGUGGCGAAGGCGGGUUCCUGGACAUUAACUGACGCUGAGGCACGAAGGCCAGGGGAGCGAAAAGGAUUAGAUACCCGAGUAGUC